rnacentral:rRNA from 1 species
AUCGUGGAUCAGAAUGCCACGGUGAAUACGUUCCCGGGCCUUGUACACACCGCCCGUCACACCAUGGGAGUGGGUUGCAAAAGAAGUAGGUAGCUUAACCUUCGGGAGGGCGCUUACCACUUUGUGAUUCAUGACUGGGGUGAAGUCGUAACAAGGUAACCGUAGGGGAACCUGCGGUUGGAUCACCUCCUUACCUGAAAGAAGC